GCAGCCCUCCCCAAGGACCCCUGUGAGACAAAUCAGGAAUGGCUUCCCUGGGGCCCAAGGAGCUGACAGGGCUUUUCCUGCUGCUUCUUCUACCCCUGUAUUUCACUCAGCUUUCUAAAUGACCCAGUUCCAGAAAUUCAUCUAUCAAAUUCACAAUAGGUUGUGAAUUAAAAUGGAAAACUCUUGGAAUAAUGUAAAUGGACUGGAUGGACAUGGGGCAACUUUAAAUGCAGAUAAAUGAGACUUUUUUGCUCACCUGGAACUUCAAAAAGUGCUUACCAGAGACUGUCUCCUCACUGCUAUUUCUUAUACACAAAUUUCUUGUUGGCUUCCUGACUCAAUACUUCAAUUUAUAGUUAUCUGGAUUUGCUGUUUGAUGAUUUGAAUGUGUCAUAAAAUCACAAAAUUCGAAAGGCAAAAUCCUAGUAACUGGAAUAAUCAGAGAAGUAUGGCUUCUAGGUCUGUCACCUCUAAUUCAUCUCCUCCUCCCCCAAGUGUGUAAUCAUAGCCUUUAGUUUUUACAAAACUUUCAUUACUUUAAGUAAAAAUAAGCAAAUGUAUACAAGAA
rnacentral:lncRNA from 1 species